rnacentral:piRNA from 1 species
UGUUCCUCAUCUUCUGUUGGG